rnacentral:rRNA from 1 species
AGUAACGCGUGAGGAACCUGCCUUUCAGAGGGGGACAACAGUUGGAAACGACUGCUAAUACCGCAUGACACAUUGGGGUCGCAUGGCCCUGAUGUCAAAGAUUUAUCGCUGAAAGAUGGCCUCGCGUCUGAUUAGCUAGUUGGUGAGGUAACGGCCCACCAAGGCGACGAUCGGUAGCCGGACUGAGAGGUUGAACGGCCACAUUGGGACUGAGACACGGCCCAG